rnacentral:rRNA from 1 species
CACGUAGGUGGGUCGUUAAGUCAGGGGUGAAAUCCUGGAGCUCAACUCCAGAACUGCCUUUGAUACUGGCGAUCUUCGAGUUCGGGAGAGGUGAGUGGAACUGCGAGUGUAGAGGUGAAAUUCGUAGAUAUUCGCAAGAACACCAGUGGCGAAGGCGGCUCACUGGCCCGAUACUGACACUGAGGUGCGAAAGCGUGGGGAGCAAACA